AACAAAAGAAGAAACAAACUGUAAGC
rnacentral:sRNA from 1 species